rnacentral:rRNA from 11 species
AAGAUCUGGUUGUACGUACAAAGAGUCAUGUAAAACUCGUGACAGGGAAAGGUGGUAUGACCUUAAAGCGAAUUAAAGAAACAGCCAUACAAGAUUUGAAUCAAAUAUUUCGUUGCCCUGUACAGUUAAAUUUGCACGUCAAAUUAAAGAAAUCCAAUCAACCACGAGGUAAU